rnacentral:sRNA from 1 species
CACCCUGCUCCUCAACUGCUAUACCAAGCUCAAGGACAGCUCGAAGCUGGAGGAGUUCAUCAAGACAAAGAGUGAGAGUGAAGUCCACUUUGAUGUGGAGACAGCCAUCAAGGUCCUCCGGCAGGCUGGCUACUACUCUCAUGCCCUGUAUCUGGCGGAGAACCAUGCACAUCAUGAGUGGUACCUGAAGAUCCAGCUAGAAGACAUUAAGAAUUAUCAGGAAGCCCUUCGAUACAUCGGCAAGCUGCCUUUUGAGCAGGCAGAGAGCAACAUGAAGCGCUACGGCAAGAUCCUCAUGCACCACAUACCAGAGCAGACAACUCAGUUGCUGAAGGGACUUUGUACUGAUUAUCGGCCCAGCCUCGAAGGCCGCAGCGAUAGGGAGGCCCCAGGCUGCAGGGUGAGGCUGCAGGGAAAAGAGCUUCAGACUGUGGGGAUCACCUUAAGGGCUUCCUGUAUAUCACGCCCACUCAUUCAGCCUCCUUUUUCCUCUCUUGCCAUCCUAGGCCAACUCUGAGGAGUUCAUCCCCAUCUUUGCCAAUAACCCGCGAGAGCUGAAAGCCUUCCUAGAGCACAUGAGUGAAGUGCAGCCAGACUCACCCCAGGGGAUCUACGACACACUCCUUGAGCUGCGACUGCAGAACUGGGCCCACGAGAAGGAUC